rnacentral:rRNA from 1 species
GAUGAACGCUAGCGGGAGGCCUAACACAUGCAAGCUGAGCGGUAGAGAUCUUUCGGGAUCUUGAGAGCGGCGUACGGGUGCGGAACACGUGUGCAACCUGCCUUUAUCAGAGGGAUAGCCUUUCGAAAGGAAGAUUAAUACCUCAUAAUAUAAUGAAUGGCAUCAUUUAUUAUUGAAAACUCCGGUGGAUAGAGGUGGGCACGCGCAAGAUUAGAUAGUUGGUGAGGUAACGGCUCACCAAGUCGAUGAUCUUUAGGGGGCCUGAGAGGGUGAUCCCCCACACUGGUACUGAGACACGGACCAGACUCCUACGGGAGGCAGCAGUGAGGAAUAUUGGACAAUGGGUUAGCGCCUGAUCCAGCCAUCCCGCGUGAAGGACGACGGCCCUAUGGGUUGUAAACUUCUUUUGUACAGGGAUAAACCUACCCUCGUGAGGGUAGCUGAAGGUACUGUACGAAUAAGCACCGGCUAACUCCGUGCCAGCCGCCGCGGUAACAC